rnacentral:rRNA from 1 species
UACAGAGGUCUCAAGCGUUGUUCGGAUUCAUUGGGCGUAAAGGGUGCGUAGGCGGCGCGGUAAGUCGGGUGUGAAAUCUCGGAGCUUAACUCCGAAACUGCAUUCGAUACUGCCGUGCUUGAGGACUGGAGAGGAGACUGGAAUUUACGGUGUAGCGGUGAAAUGCGUAGAUAUCGUAAGGAAGACCAGUGGCGAAGGCGGGUCUCUGGGCCGGUACUGACGCUGAGGAGCGAAAGCGUGGGGAGCGAACAGG